CCGAGCCACCCAGGAGCCCCAGAUGUUUCAAUAUUUAAAGAAGACCACGAGUAGCAGGAAAACACUUGAAAACAGUAGAAAAAACCAACAUUGCAGAACCAUUUUCAAUAGACAUACCAACCAGAAGAUUUUUGCGUAUGCCAAUCCCUGAAGAAAUCCUCUUUUAAAAAGAUUUACAAAGAUCUGAAGCCUAAGGAGCAACAUCUUCAACGAGUAUCAUAUUUCUUGCAAAUUGUGUUCUUCAGAUUUUAAGUUACUAUCUUUAAAGCAAUUUUGCUUAUAAACUUGAAAAUAAAUGAUGACUUCUAUCUCUUCAA